GUGCCAGCCGCCGCGGUAAUACGUAGGUGGCAAGCGUUGUCCGGAAUUACUGGGCGUAAAGGGUGCGCAGGCGGACAUUUAAGUGAGAUGUGAAAUACCCGGGCUUAACCCGGGCAGUGCAUUUCAAACUGGGUGUCUGGAGUGCAGGAGAGGAGAACGGAAUUCCUAGUGUAGCGGUGAAAUGCGUAGAGAUUAGGAAGAACACCAGUGGCGAAGGCGGUUCUCUGGACUGUAACUGACGCUGAGGCACGAAAGCGUGGGUAGCAAACAGGAUUAGAUACCCUGGUAGUCCACGCCGUAAACGAUGAGUACUAGGUGUAGGAGGUAUCGACCCCUUCUGUGCCGCAGUAAACACAAUAAGUACUCCGCCUGGGAAGUACGAUCGCAAGAUUAAAACUCAAAGGAAUUGACGG
rnacentral:rRNA from 1 species